GCCCUUAGAGUUUGAUCCUGGCUCAGAACGAACGCUGGCGGCAUGCCUAACACAUGCAAGUCGAACGAGACCUUCGGGUCUAGUGGCGCACGGGUGCGUAACGCGUGGGAAUCUGCCCUUGGGUUCGGAAUAACAGUUAGAAAUGACUGCUAAUACCGGAUGAUGACUUCGGUCCAAAGAUUUAUCGCCCAAGGAUGAGCCCGCGUAGGAUUAGCUAGUUGGUGGGGUAAAGGCCUACCAAGGCGACGAUCCAUAGCUGGUCUGAGAGGAUGAUCAGCCACAUUGGGACUGAGACACGGCCCAAACUCCUACGGGAGGCAGCAGUGGGGAAUAUUGGACAAUGGGCGCAAGCCUGAUCCAGCCAUGCCGCGUGAGUGAUGAAGGCCUUAGGGUUGUAAAGCUCUUUCACCGGAGAAGAUAAUGACGGUAUCCGGAGAAGAAGCCCCGGCUAACUUCGUGCCAGCAGCCGCGGUAAUACGAAGGGGGCUAGCGUUGUUCGGAAUUACUGGGCGUAAAGCGCACGUAGGCGGAUAUUUAAGUCAGGGGUGAAAUCCCAGAGCUCAACUCUGGAACUGCCUUUGAUACUGGGUAUCUUGAGUAUGGAAGAGGUAAGUGGAAUUCCGAGUGUAGAGGUGAAAUUCGUAGAUAUUCGGAGGAACACCAGUGGCGAAGGCGGCUUACUGGUCCAUUACUGACGCUGAGGUGCGAAAGCGUGGGGAG
rnacentral:rRNA from 1 species